AUGAUGGUUCCGACUGGUAUCAUUGAGAGUCAGAUAGCCAGGAGAUGCCUGGUUCAGAACCAAUGGAAGUGGGAGGUUAUACAACAUGGGCCAGAUACCUACAUGGUUAGCUUUCCUUCCUUUGAGGAUUUCGUUAGGGCUGGCGGUACUCAGAUGAAUGUGACAUCGGUUAAUGCUCAAAUGUCUCAGGAAAUCCCACAUAAGUUGGAAAUUAAGCAUCUUUGGCUUCAUGUUGAGGGUGUUCCCCGUAGAGUUCGUCAUUUUUGGGGUCUGUGGGCAGUGGUACUUUUAUGGGCAAGACCUUGGACAUUGAUCUCAUCAGCUUGA
rnacentral:rRNA from 1 species